rnacentral:lncRNA from 1 species
CAUGGAGACCUCCAACACCGCUCUCCACUACGUGCCUCUUCUCCUGCUUAAGAACCUGGACGUCUUAGACGAGCUGGGCUUAUGGUGAAUGUGAUUGGGGACAGUCAAGGGUCUCUGAGGCCAUGCUGGAAGGUUGUUGGGUGAUGAACGAAGACAUCUGUCCUGAUCAGUCUGAAAAAUAAAAAAUCCACCUCUGUAAGGAUUUGUAACUUAUAAUGAAGUUUUGCUGCCAACAGAGCUCUUUGAAAUUGACAAGGACACUACUGUGUACACCAUCCUGAGCUCUGUCCUCCACGACCCAUACCACUUUGAGAAGCCAGAUGCUUUCCAUUCUGGCCACUUCCUGGAUUUGGAGGGCAACUUCAGGAAGCAAGAAGCCUUCAUCCUAUUCUCCAUGGGUUGUCCUGAAGAGGUUAAACCUUCACAAUGUUCCAUAACAUUCCGAAGUCAUGUGCCACUCCAAAAGCAUAAUGGCUGAGGUAUACAUAUCUGCGAACUGGUCUUCAGCCAACUGACAACCUCAAGUUAAAGUAAUUCAUUGUGGUUGUUGUGCUGAUUUUAUUUCUGGUAAAUAAGUACUCUCAAUUGUGCCCACUGAAGAAAUUUCUGCAUAUCCAGCUUGGUAAUGUCCUUCCUCAUCCUUUAAGUAAGACCUGUCUUUAAACCAACUUAAAUCAGCAUUCUCAGUAGGAAUUUCUUGUGAGUCAUUGCUAAGAGCAAGAAGGUAAUCUGUUAUUAAAAUACAGUCGUGGUCAA